rnacentral:lncRNA from 1 species
GAGUACUUGCUCAUGCUCAACCCGAUUUCAGCAAAGUAAAGUCUCUGAGCAUUUACUCAAAACCAUAUGAAUAAAACGAUACUUUACUCAGAGUAAGUUCGAAAUUCGAACAUAGCUUUUACUCUGUCAAAAUGUUUGUUUUGUUUUGGCUCGAUUGUUACUUAUGCUAAAAGUAAUCCAGCGAUACAAAACCGUGAGAACAGAAGUGCCUUUGCGGAGGAUGUUAACCGUGUUUUGUCGUUUGUUGCCGCCUAAUGGAGGCACACAACUUGGUUAAACUAAACAGUCAGCAUCACGUCUGCCGGAAAUGCGUCGAUAACCCUCAUCGUUGGAUAGAUAGCUACGAGAGAGCAGGUGACCGUGCUCAAGUACAAACCUGAGCUCACCAAAGGACAACAUCGAUCGGAGUCCCUACGUGUUGAUCCGCGUCAGAAUCUGAACCGGCAGAAUUUCGUCAGCAGCAACAAUAUUGAUUCCGCUGGGCAAAAUACUCAAGGUAAAGCCACGAAGGACAGAAUGAACUGGCGAAAACUUUCGCGGACAAUUUGGCUGUCAUAAGCGAGUUCUACACGCCAUAGACGACCGGAUUAGUAAUCAGUAGAGGAGAAGCCAUAGGACAAGGCACCGGCAUUGCUCAAACGGAGAUGCUGUCGGUUUGAAAUGCCACAGCCACCCUCGGUAACAUCGUAACCAGAGUGGAAUAGAGGGCACGCAUUCCCCAUCUACCAUGGCCAGUGAAAAAAUAAAUGAAUUAUGUAUGCUACUUAA